UGGCGGCGUGCUUAACACAUGCAAGUCGAACGCUGAAGCUUGGUGCUUGCACUGGGUGGAUGAGUGGCGAACGGGUGAGUAAUACGUGAGUAACCUGCCCUUGACUCUGGGAUAAGCCUGGGAAACUGGGUCUAAUACUGGAUAUGACCUCCUGUCGCAUGGUGGGGGGUGGAAAGGGUUUGUACUGGUUGUGGAUGGGCUCACGGCCUAUCAGCUUGUUGGUGGGGUAAUGGCCUACCAAGGCGACGACGGGUAGCCGGCCUGAGAGGGUGACCGGCCACACUGGGACUGAGACACGGCCCAGACUCCUACGGGAGGCAGCAGUGGGGAAUAUUGCACAAUGGGCGCAAGCCUGAUGCAGCGACGCCGCGUGAGGGAUGACGGCCUUCGGGUUGUAAACCUCUUUCAGCACGGAAGAAGCGAAAGUGACGGUACGUGCAGAAGAAGCGCCGGCUAACUACGUGCCAGCAGCCGCGGUAAUACGUAGGGCGCAAGCGUUGUCCGGAAUUAUUGGGCGUAAAGAGCUCGUAGGCGGUUUGUCGCGUCUGCUGUGAAAGCCCGGGGCUUAACCCCGGGUGUGCAGUGGGUACGGGCAGACUUGAGUGCAGUAGGGGAGACUGGAACUCCUGGUGUAGCGGUGAAAUGCGCAGAUAUCAGGAAGAACACCGAUGGCGAAGGCAGGUCUCUGGGCUGUUACUGACGCUGAGGAGCGAAAGCAUGGGGAGCGAACAGGAUUAGAUACCCUGGUAGUCCAUGCCGUAAACGUUGGGCACUAGGUGUGGGGGACAUUCCACGUUUUCCGCGCCGUAGCUAACGCA
rnacentral:rRNA from 1 species